rnacentral:tRNA from 1 species
GGAAGGGUGGCCGAGUGGUUGAUGGCACCAGUCUUGAAAACUGGCGAGCCCGUAAGGGUUCCGUGAGUUCGAAUCUCACCCCUUCCG